rnacentral:rRNA from 1 species
UAAAUAAAAAAUUAAUAAUUAAAUAAAUAAUAAAAGUAAUUUUAAUAUUAAAAUAAAUAAUGGGGGUUAAAGUAUUUUAAUAGAAAAAAUUAUAAAUUUUAUAGUAAAUUAGUAUAAUAAUAGAAAUUUGAAAUAAUUGAAAAAAAAAUUAAAUAAAAGUAAAUUUUAUUUAUUGUUAUCUUGUGUAUCAGAGUUUAUUAAAUAUAAUUUUAAUAAAAAAAAAUAUCUCGAAUUUAAGAGAGUUAAUUAAUUAAUAAAUUUAAUAUUGAAUAAUUAUUUUAAAUAAUUAAUUAGAAAUGAAAUGCUAUUCGUUUUUAAAUAUAUCUAGUUAUUUUAGAAAAAAAUUUAAUUUUUAAUUUAUUUUUUCUUUAUAAAAUUAAUUUUGUAAAAAAAAAUAAAUUUUAUAAUUUAAGGGAUAAGCUUUAAAAUUAAAAUUUUAUAAUUAAUAAAAUUAAAAUUAAAAUUUUUAAAAUUUAAAUUGUUUAAAAAUUAAAAUUUAUUAUAAAAAAUUUUAUUUUAUAUAAAAUUUAUUUAAAUUUAAUUUUUUAUAAAAAUAUAUUAAUUAAUAAUAAAUUAAUAAAAAUAAUGAUAAAAUUAGUAUAAUAAAAUUAAAUAAUAAAUUUUUAUUUAUAAAUAAAUAAAAGGAAUUCGGCAAAUAUAUAUAUUCACCUGUUUAACAAAAACAUGUCUUUUUGAAUUAUAAUUUAAAGUCCAAUCUGCCCACUGAUUUUAUAUUAAAGGGCUGCAGUAAUUUGACUGUACAAAGGUAGCAUAAUCAUUAGUCUUUUAAUUGAAGACUUGUAUGAAAGAUUAGAUGAAAUAUAAACUGUCUCUUAUUUAAAAGUAGAAUUUAAUUUUUUAGUUAAAAAGCUAAAAUAAUUUUAAAAGACGAGAAGACCCUAUAGAGUUUAAUAUUUUUUUUAUUUAUAAUAUUUAUAUAAAAUUUUAAUAUAAAAAAUAAAUAAAUAUUGUAUUGGGGUGAUAAAAAAAUUAAUUAAACUUUUUUUUUAAAUUAAACAAAAAUAAAUGAUUAAAUGAUCCAUAAUUAAUGAUUAAAAGAAAAAAUUACCUUAGGGAUAACAGCGUAAUAUUUUUUUUUAGUACAAAUAAAAAAAAAGUUUGCGACCUCGAUGUUGGAUUAAGAUAAAAUUUAAAUGCAAAAGUUUAAAAUUUUGAUCUGUUCGAUCAUUAAAAUCUUACAUGAUCUGAGUUCAAACCGGUGUAAGCCAGGUUGGUUUCUAUCUUUAAGAAAAUAAAAUAUUUUA